UACUUAUCCAGAAUGGUGGAGGGACAGGCCCUUUGAAGCCAGGCAACCUUUUAAGUUAGGUGCUAAUUCCUGCAGGUGACAUGCCUGAGAGAUGAGUC
rnacentral:ncRNA from 1 species